GGAACAAUACUCAAGAGGCUAAAGAGGCUGGUUUCGAAAACCAGUAGUGGCUAAUACCUGCAGGAGUUCGAAUCUCCUUUGUUCCGCCA
rnacentral:tRNA from 1 species